UUCUGCAGAAUAGUUAGAGGAUUCACAGUAGUCCGAGUAAACAAUCUGCACUAAAGAAAAAAUUCAUAAAACUCAAGUAUUGUAAAUAGGUUAAUUCAAGCAAGAAAGUUUUCUGAGACAGCUUUAUUUUAGGGUGUGAAUUUUAAAUUCAGAGUAUAAGCGUGUCUAAGUCAUUGUUUUUACUCCACAAUUUUUUUUUUACUUGGGUUCUAGAUAACCAGCUUCCUAUUCAAAUCUGUGAGUUGCUUUCCUGCAUUUUGGUCAUGAGUGAGUGCUGAGAAGAGUGAGAGAAGUUUUCUGUGCUCAGUAGCUGGAGUCAAUCACACUGUAUAAUUGCUGGUGCUGCAUUGGGCAGCAGCAACAAAAACAGGCCUGUUUAGCUGUUGUGGCUUCAUUAUUUGUCAGCUCAUCUACAAGAAGAUAUAACUGUGCAAUUGACUGGGCUUAUACAUUAGCUCCAAGCCAGAAUUCAUACUGAACAAUCCUUCAUGUGGAAGAGACAUAUGUGUAAUCAGGUAGUCUCUGCCCAGUGGGCUCUGUGUGGGAACCUGGUUGCCUCAGUUUGACUGGUGAAUUCUUCAACAGCUGGCUAGAGUUUUGUGUGAUGAUUUGGCUAUACAAAAUCUAUGCAACUCUACAUAUUCAGAGCAGAGACACCUGCGGUGUUAUGUCAUACAGGUUAUCUGAUCUCAGGGGAGCUGGAGUCCUUGCUGGAGGCCUCCAUCAUGUGUUGGAGGUUGCCUCACACAAUGCCACCAUUGGUGCUGAAAUUCUGUUUCCCUUUCCUGUCAGCAUCUGGGAUAUAGAAGGAGAAACUCCCAGCAUAGACAUCACUACUACUUAA
rnacentral:lncRNA from 1 species